GGUGAACGCUGGCGGUGUGCCUAAUACAUGCAAGUCGAGCGGCCACACGAUGAGCUUGUGCUCUUGCCGUUAGCGGCGGACGGGCGGGUGACGCAUGCAUCGCCUUCUUCUUUUACUUGGAUAACUUCGUGAAAACGGUUCUAAUAAUACCUCAUACAACCUACGGCAGGAAGCAAUAGAGCAUCACACCUUGGCCGUCUCAUAUAGCCGGAUCCGCGCCGGAUUAGCUAGUUGGUAAGGUAACGGCUUACCAAGGCGACGAUGCGUAGCCGACCUGAGAGGGUGAUCGGCCACACUGGAACUGAGACACGGUCCAGACUCCUACGGGAGGCAGCAGUAGGGAAUCUUCCGCAAUGGGCGAAAGCCUGACGGAGCAACGCCGCGUGAGUGAUGAAGGUCUUCGGAUCGUAAAACUCUGUUAUUAGGGAAGAACAAAUGUGUAAGUAACUAUGCACGUCUUGACGGUACCUAAACAGAAAGCCACGGCUAACUACGUG
rnacentral:rRNA from 1 species